rnacentral:rRNA from 1 species
UACGGAGGGUGCAAGCGUUAUCCGGAUUCACUGGGUUUAAAGGGUGCGUAGGCGGAUUGGUAAGUCCGUGGUGAAAUCUCCAAGCUUAACUUGGAAACUGCCAUGGAUACUAUUAGUCUUGAAUGUUGUGGAGGUUAGCGGAAUAUGUCAUGUAGCGGUGAAAUGCGUAGAUAUGACGUAGAACACCAAUUGCGAAGGCAGCUGCUACACAAAUAUUGACGCUGAGGCACGAAAGCGUGGGGAUC